rnacentral:rRNA from 1 species
GAGGGAAAGGCGAAAAGAACCCCUGUGAGGGGAGUGAAAUAGAACCUGAAACCGUGUACGUACAAGCAGUAGGAGCAGGCUUUGUCCUGUGACUGCGUACCUUUUGUAUAAUGGGUCAGCGACUUAUAUUCAGUGGCAAGGUUAACCAUCUAGGGGAGCCGUAGGGAAACCGAGUCUUAACUGGGCGUUCAGUCUCUGGAUAUAGACCCGAAACCAGGUGAUCUAGCCAUGGGCAGGUUGAAGGUUGAGUAACAUCAACUGGAGGACCGAACCGACUAAUGUUGAAAAAUUAGCGGAUGACUUGUGGCUAGGGGUGAAAGGCCAAUCAAACCUGGAGAUAGCUGGUUCUCCCCGAAAGCUAUUUAGGUAGCGCCUCGGACGAAUACUACUGGGGGUAGAGCACUGUUAAGGCUAGGGGGUCAUCCCGACUUACCAACCCUUUGCAAACUCCGAAUACCAGUAAGUACUAUCCGGGAGACACACGGCGGGUGCUAACGUCCGUCGUGGAGAGGGAAACAACCCAGACCGCCAGCUAAGGUCCCAAAUUACUACUAAGUGGGAAACGAUGUGGGAAGGCUCAGACAGCCAGGAUGUUGGCUUAGAAGCAGCCAUCAUUUAAAGAAAGCGUAAUAGCUCACUGGUCGAGUCGGCCUGCGCGGAAGAUGUAACGGGGCUAAGUAGUAAACCGAAGCUGCGGCAAUAUACUUUUGUAUAUUGGGUAGGGGAGCGUUCUGUAAGCGGUUGAAGGUGUGUGGUAACGCAUGCUGGACGUAUCAGAAGUGCGAAUGCUGACAUGAGUAACGAUAAAGGGGGUGAAAAACCUCCUCGCCGGAAGACCAAGGGUUCCUGUCCAACGUUAAUCGGGGCAGGGUAAGUCGACCCCUAAGGCGAGGCCGAAAGGCGUAGUCGAUGGGAAACGGGUUAAUAUUCCCGUACUUCUUACAAUUGCGAUGGGGGGACGGAGAAGGCUAGGUGGGCCUGGCGACGGUUGUCCAGGUUCAAGUGCGUAGGCUUAAGAGUUAGGUAAAUCCGGCUCUUUCUAAGGCUGAGACACGACGUCGAGCUGCUACGGCAGUGAAGUCAUUGAUGCCAUGCUUCCAGGAAAAGCCUCUAAGCUUCAGAUUGUAAGGAAUCGUACCCCAAACCGACACAGGUGGUCGGGUAGAGAAUACCAAGGCGCUUGAGAGAACUCGGGUGAAGGAACUAGGCAAAAUGGUACCGUAACUUCGGGAGAAGGUACGCUCUUGAUGGUGAAGUCCCUUGCGGAUGGAGCUGACGAGAGUCGCAGAUACCAGGUGGCUGCAACUGUUUAUUAAAAACACAGCACUGUGCAAAAUCGUAAGAUGACGUAUACGGUGUGACGCCUGCCCGGUGCCGGAAGGUUAAUUGAUGGGGUUAGACUUCGGUCGAAGCUCUUGAUCGAAGCCCCGGUAAACGGCGGCCGUAACUAUAACGGUCCUAAGGUAGCGAAAUUCCUUGUCGGGUAAG